GACGAACGCUGGCGGCGUGCUUAACACAUGCAAGUCGAACGGAAAGGCCUCUUUCGGGGGGUACUCGAGUGGCGAACGGGUGAGUAAUACGUGAGUAACCUGCCCUUGACUUUGGGAUAACUUCAGGAAACUGGGGUUAAUCCCGGAUCGGCGCUCCUGCUGCAUGGUGGGGGUUGGAAAGUUUCGGCGGUCGGGGAUGGCUUCGCGGCAUAUCCGCGUGUUGGUGGGGUAGUGGCUUAACAAGGCGUUGCCGGGUAGCCUGCCUGAGAGAGUGAAAGGCGGCACAGAGACUGAGAGACGGCCGAGGCUCCUACGAGAGGCAGCAGUGGGGAAUAUUGCUCAAUGGAUGGAGGCCGGAUGCAGCAGCGCCUUGGGCGGGAUAACGGCCUACGUUUGGUAGACCGCCAGCGCGCAUGUCGAAGCUUGGUGUGACGGUAGUGAGUAAAUAAGCACCGGCUAACUACGUG
rnacentral:rRNA from 1 species